rnacentral:rRNA from 1 species
GAUGAACGCUGGCGGCGUGCUUAACACAUGCAAGUCGAACGAAGCACCUUAUUCUGAUUUCUUCGGAAUGAAAAAUUUGGUGACUGAGUGGCGGACGGGUGAGUAACGCGUGGGUAACCUGCCUCAUACAGGGGGAUAACAGUUAGAAAUGACUGCUAAUACCGCAUAAGACCACAGCACCGCAUGGUGCAGGGGUAAAAACUCCGGUGGUAUGAGAUGGACCCGCGUCUGAUUAGGUAGUUGGUGGGGUAACGGCCUACCAAGCCGACGAUCAGUAGCCGACCUGAGAGGGUGACCGGCCACAUUGGGACUGAGACACGGCCCAAACUCCUACGGGAGGCAGCAGUGGGGAAUAUUGCACAAUGGGGGAAACCCUGAUGCAGCGACGCCGCGUGAGCGAUGAAGUAUUUCGGUAUGUAAAGCUCUAUCAGCAGGGAAGAAA